rnacentral:rRNA from 1 species
AUUGAACGCUGGCGGCAGGCCUAACACAUGCAAGUCGAGCGGAUGAAGGGAGCUUGCUCCUGGAUUCAGCGGCGGACGGGUGAGUAAUGCCUAGGAAUCUGCCUGGUAGUGGGGGAUAACGUCCGGAAACGGGCGCUAAUACCGCAUACGUCCUGAGGGAGAAAGUGGGGGAUCUUCGGACCUCACGCUAUCAGAUGAGCCUAGGUCAGAUUAGCUAGUUGGUGGGGUAAAGGCCUACCAAGGCGACGAUCCGUAACUGGUCUGAGAGGAUGAUCAGUCACACUGGAACUGAGACACGGUCCAGACUCCUACGGGAGGCAGCAGUGGGGGAUAUUGGACAAUGGGCGAAAGCCUGAUCCAGCCAUGCCGCGUGUGUGAAGAAGGUCUUCGGAUUGUAAAGCACUUUAAGUUGGGAGGAAGGGCAGUAAGUUAAUACCUUGCUGUUUUGACGUUACCAACAGAAUAAGCACCGGCUAACUUCGUG